GACGAACGCUGGCGGCGUGCCUAACACAUGCAAGUCGAGCGAGUGAAUCUCCUUCGGGAGUGAAGCUAGCGGCGGACGGGUGAGUAACACGUGGGCAACCUGCCUCAUAGAGGGGAAUAGCCUUUCGAAAGGAAGAUUAAUACCGCAUAAGAUUGUAGCUUCGCAUGAAGUAGCAAUUAAAGGAGCAAUCCGCUAUGAGAUGGGCCCGCGGCGCAUUAGCUAGUUGGUGAGGUAACGGCUCACCAAGGCGACGAUGCGUAGCCGACCUGAGAGGGUGAUCGGCCACAUUGGGACUGAGACACGGCCCAGACUCCUACGGGAGGCAGCAGUGGGGAAUAUUGCACAAUGGGGGAAACCCUGAUGCAGCAACGCCGCGUGAGUGAUGACGGCCUCGGUUGUAAG
rnacentral:rRNA from 1 species